AGGCAGACGUAACAGUCAGUACAGAGACGUAACAGUCAGUACAGAGAUAUGGCAGACAGAGACGUAACAGUGAGUACAGAGAUAUGGCAGAGACGUAACAGUCAGUACAGAGAUAUGGCAGAGAGACGUAACAGUCAGUACAGAUAUGGCAGAGAGACGUAACAGUCAGUACAGAUAUGGCAGAGAGACGUAACAGUCAGUACAGAGACGUAACAGUCAGUACAGAGAUAUGGCAGAGAUACGUAACAGUCAGUACAGAGACGUAACAGUCAGUACAGAGAUAUGGCAGAGAUGUAACAGUCAGUACAGAGACGUAACAGUCAGUACAGAGAUAUGGCAGAGAGAUGUAACAGUCAGUACAGAGACGUAACAGUCAGUACAGAGAUAUGGCAGAGAGAUGUAACAGUCAGUACAGAGACGUAACAGUCAGUACAGAGAUAUGGCAGAGAUGUAACAGUCAGUACAGAGAUAUGGCAGACAGAGACGUAACAGUCAGUACAGAGAUAUGGCAGAGAGACGUAACAGUCAGUACAGAGACGUAACAGUCAGUACAGAGAUAUGGCAGAGAGACGUAACAGUCAGUACAGAGACGUAACAGUCAGUACAGAGAUAUGGCAGAGAUACGUAACAGUCAGUACAGAGACGUAACAGUCAGUACAGAGAUAUGGCAGAGAGACGUAACAGUCAGUACAGAGACGUAACAGUCAGUACAGAGAUAUGGCAGACAGAGACGUAACAGUCAGUACAGAGACGUAACAGUCAGUACAGAGAUAUGGCAGAGAUGUAACAGUCAGUACAGAGACGUAACAGUCAGUACAGAGAUAUGGCAGAGAUGUAACAGUCAGUACAGAGACGUAACAGUCAGUACAGAGAUAUGGCAGAGAGAUGUAACAGUCAGUACAGAGACGUAACAGUCAGUACAGAGAUAUGGCAGACAGAGACGUAACAGUCAGUACAGAGAUAUGGCAGAGAGACGUAACAGUCAGUACAGAGACGUAACAGUCAGUACAGAGAUAUGGCAGAGAGACGUAACAGUCAGUACAGAGAUAUGGCAGACAGAGACGUAACAGUCAGUACAGAGACGUAACAGUCAGUACAGAGAUAUGGCAGAGAUGUAACAGUCAGUACAGAGACGUAACAGUCAGUACAGAGAUAUGGCAGAGAGACGUAACAGUGAGAGUAACUAGCUAAACAGUGUCCCCUC